rnacentral:rRNA from 1 species
UACGUAGGGUGCGAGCGUUGUCCGGAAUUAUUGGGCGUAAAGAGCUCGUAGGCGGUCUGUCGCGUCGAUCGUGAAAACUUGGGGCUUAACCCUGAGCUUGCGGUCGAUACGGGCAUGGACUGGAGUUCGGCAGGGGAGACUGGAAUUCCUGGUGUAGCGGUGAAAUGCGCAGAUAUCAGGAGGAACACCGGUGGCGAAGGCGGGUCUCUGGGCCGAUACUGACGCUGAGGAGCGAAAGCGUGGGGAGCGAACAGG